rnacentral:misc_RNA from 1 species
GAUGAAGAACGCAGCGAAAUGCGAUACGUAAUGUGAAUUGCAAAUUCAGUGAAUCAUCGAGUCUUUGAACGCACAUUGCGCCCCCUGGUAUUCCGGGGGGCAUGCCUGUCCGAGCGUCAUUGCUGCCCUCAAGCACGGCUUGUGUGUUGGGCCCCGUCCUCCGAUUCCGGGGGACGGGCCCGAAAGGCAGCGGCGGCACCGCGUCCGGUCCUCGAGCGUAUGGGGCUUUGUCACCCGCUCUGUAGGCCCGGCCAGCGCUUGCCGAUCAACCCAAAUUUUUAUCCAGGUUGACCUCGGAUCAGGUAGGGAUACCCGCUGAACUUAAGCAUAUCAAUAAGCGGAGGA